GGGACUGGGAGCUUUAAAGCUUACAGGGUACCUCCGGGAGCUGAUGCAGCAGAAUAAUAUACAUUUUGAAUCGAUGUACACUGUUCGUACAUUGAAAGAGAACCUAUGUUAUGUUGCUGAAGACUACGAAGCUGAAUUGUCUAAGGAUACUCAAGCAUCCUACGAAGCUGCUGGGGAAGGUUGGUUUACUCUUUCCAAAGAGCGAUUUCAAACUGGAGAGAUCUUAUUCCAACCGCGUAUGGGAGGAGUGCGAGCAAUGGGGCUUCACGAGGCUGUUGCACUUUGCAUGGACCAUUGCCAUGAUGCAGAACUUUCUUAUGAUGAUUCUUGGUUCAAGACUGUGGUUUUGUCAGGUGGCAGUGCUUGUCUUCCAGGACUUGCAGAAAGGUUGCAGAAGGAGCUUUAUAGGCUUCUUCCUUCGCCAAUGUCCAAUGGAAUUAGAGUCAUUCCUCCACCAUAUGGUACAGACACAGCUUGGUUUGGGGCAAGG
rnacentral:misc_RNA from 1 species